rnacentral:rRNA from 1 species
AUGUCUGGAAGCACGAGAGAAUGCUCUUCUACUUAUAUUAUUACUAGUAUUCAAUACUGGGGUAUUCAUAGCAUCACUAUAACUUCCUUAUUCAUUGCGGGUUGGUUAUUUGUCAACCCGGCUUUCACUUGGAACAACUAUGGAAGUCCUCGGCCUAACGAAUAUUUCACGGAAAGCCAACAAAGGAUUUUCUUAAUAACUGGUGUAAGUGCAUCUAGUGCCACCCCAAGUUGGUUUUGGAGUAUUGACGACAAACCUCAUUGA